rnacentral:rRNA from 1 species
CAGUAGCCGCGGUAAUACGGAGGGUGCGAGCGUUAAUCGGAAUUACUGGGCGUAAAGCGCACGCAGGCGGUUUGUUAAGUCAGAUGUGAAAGCCCCCGGCUCAACCGGGGAGGGUCAUUGGAAACUGGGAAACUUGAGUGCAGAAGAGGAGAGUGGAAUUCCACGUGUAGCGGUGAAAUGCGUAGAGAUGUGGAGGAACACCAGUGGCGAAGGCGACUCUCUGGUCUGUAACUGACGCUGAGGAGCGAAAGCGUGGGGAGCGAACAGGAUUAGAGACCCCAGUAGUCCCUGUCUCUUAACA